rnacentral:lncRNA from 10 species
ACAAGACCAUGAAGGAAGACAGUGAGCAGGUCUGUGAAAGUGGGUCAUGGCUAGUAAAUAUGGCGACCCAAUGAGGCUCUGGAGGCACUAACAGCAAAUAGUCUUGGGGCCAAGCACGGUGGUUAUUUUCUACUUAAUGACAUCAUCUUUCAAGUACUGAGCCCCCCAAAAUACUUUCUGCUUAUUCUAAGAUUCGUAUUUGCUUUCAUUUUUUAACAUUUCUUUGAAACACUUACUACAUUCAAUGUUACAGUAUUUCUUUUUUUUUUUAAACUCCUAUUUACUUAGAAAUUAUUCUGAGGCUAAAAGAAAUCAAGUGCGAUUUCUUUUAAGGGAUAAUUUAUUAAUAAUUGGUUAUCCCACUAGUUUUAAAGGUCUUCACAUGGCUGUCUUCAGGAAAGAGGCAGGGCAGUAGAAGUAGAGGUGCAGGUACUAAAUUUGUGAAGGCAUGUGAAGGCAAAUUGUUAUUUAGCAUAGUGGUAUUCAUUAUCCAUGGUCAAGGUGUCUGAAAUUGCUCAUUAAUCAAUCAUUAACAACCACAGAAAAUAGGGGAAUUUCAUGGAAGCGUAAAGGUUCACUGGCAGAGAAAUUUCUUUAUGACUUGCCAAGUAAAAGGAAUGUGAAGAAUAAGGCCAAGGCCCAUCCAACAAAGCAAGAGUUAACAGGUCCUAGCAGAACUGCUAGUUUAAAUUUCCAUUCGGUGAUUUUUUUUUUUUUUUUUUUUGAGACAGGGUCUCACUCUGUCGCCCAGGCUGGAGUGCAGUGGCACGAUCUUGGCUCACUGCAGCCUCAACCUCCUCAGCUAGCUGAAGCAAUACUUUCACCUCAGCCUCUUGCAUAGCUGGUACUACAGGCAUGCACCACCACACCCAGCUAUUUUUUGUAUUAUUUUCUUUUCUUUUCUUUUUUUUUUUUUU